UACAGAGGGGGCAAGCGUUGUUCGGAAUUACUGGGCGUAAAGGGCGCGUAGGCGGCCCGCUAAGUCGAACGUGAAAUCCCCCGGGCUCAACCCGGGAACUGCGUCCGAUACUGGAAGUCUUGAGUCCGGAAGAGGUAAGUGGAACUGCGAGUGUAGAGGUGAAAUUCGUAGAUAUUCGCAAGAACACCAGUGGCGAAGGCGGCUUACUGGUCCGGUACUGACGCUGAGGUGCGAAAGCGUGGGGAGCAAACAGGG
rnacentral:rRNA from 1 species